rnacentral:rRNA from 11 species
GAGACCCUCUCGCCGAAAGUCCAAGGGUUCCUGCGCAAUGCUAAUCAGCGCAGGGUAAGCCGGCCCCUAAGGCGAGGCCGAAAGGCGUAGUCGAUGGGAACCAGGUUAAUAUUCCUGGGCCAGGAGGAUGUGACGGAUCUCGAAGGUUGUUCCCUCUUAUCGGAUUGAGGGGGCUGCUUAGAGGUUCCUGGAAAUAGCCCUCCAUGAGAUCGUACCCUAAACCGACACAGGUGGACUGGUAGAGAA